rnacentral:rRNA from 1 species
CCUACGGGAGGCAGCAGUGGGGAAUAUUGGUCAAUGGGCGCAAGCCUGACCCAGCAACGCCGCGUGAAGGAUGAAGGCUUUCCGGUUGGAAACUUCUUUUUACAUGGAAGUGCAGUAGACCGUACCUGUCUAAUAAUCCACGGCUAACUACUUACCAUCAGCCGCGGUCAUACGGAGGUGGCAGGCGUUGUCCGGAUUUCCUGGGUGUAACGGGCGUGUAGCCGGGGUGAAAAGUCAGAUGUGAAAUCCGGGGGCUCAACCGCCGAACUGCAUUUGAAACUGUUGGUCUUGAGUAUAGGAGAGGCAGGCGGAAUUCCUAGUGUAGCGGUGAAAUGCGUAGAUAUUAGGAGGAACACCAGUGGCGAAGGCGGCUUGCUGGACGACAACUGACGGUGAGGCGCGAAAGCGUGGGGAGCAAACAGGAUUAGAUACCCCAGUAGUC